GCAUAUCAAUAAGCGGAGGAAAAGAAACCAACAGGGAUUGCCUCAGUAACGGCGAGUGAAGCGGCAACAGCUCAAAUUUGAAAUCUGGUCCCCUCUGGGGGCCCGAGUUGUAAUUUGAAGAGGAUGCUUUUGGCGAGGCGCCUUCCGAGUGCCCUGGAACGGGACGCCACAGAGGGUGAGAGCCCCGUAUGGUAGGACGCCGAGCCUCUGUAAAGCUCCUUCGACGAGUCGAGUAGUUUGGGAAUGCUGCUCAAAAUGGGAGGUAAACCCCUUCUAAAGCUAAAUAUUGGCCAGAGACCGAUAGCGCACAAGUAGAGUGAUCGAAAGAUGAAAAGCACUUUGAAAAGAGAGUUAAACAGCACGUGAAAUUGUUGAAAGGGAAGCGCUUGCGACCAGACUUGCGCCCGUCGGAUCAACCGUCCCUCGUGGGCGGCGCACUCCGGCGGGCUCAGGCCAGCAUCAGUUUUCCUGGGGGGAGAAAGGCGGUGGGAAUGUGGCUCUUCGGAGUGUUAUAGCCCGCCGCGUAAUGCCCUCGGGGGGACUGAGGACCGCGCGUAUGCAAGGAUGCUGGCGUAAUGGUCGUCAGCGACCCGUCUUGAAACACGGACCAAGGAGUCGUCCUAAUAUGCGAGUGUACGGGUGUAAAACCCCUGCGCGUAAUGAAAGUGAACGGAGGUGAGAGCUUCGGCGCAUCAUCGACCGAUCCUGAUGUUCUCGGAUGGAUUUGAGUAAGAGCAUAUUGGGCCGGACCCGAAAGAAGGUGAACUAUGCCUGUAUAGGGUGAAGCCAGAGGAAACUCUGGUGGAGGCUCGCAGCGGUUCUGACGUGCAAAUCGAUCGUCAAAUAUGGGCAUGGGGGCGAAAGACUAAUCGAACCUUCUAGUAGCUGGUUUCCGCGAA
rnacentral:rRNA from 1 species